rnacentral:rRNA from 1 species
GAUGAACGCUGGCGGCGUGCCUAAUACAUGCAAGUCGAGCGAACAGAUGAGGAGCUUGCUCCUCUGACGUUAGCGGCGGACGGGUGAGUAACACGUGGAUAACCUACCUAUAAGACUGGGAUAACUUCGGGAAACCGGAGCUAAUACCGGAUAAUAUAUUGAACCGCAUGGUUCAAUAGUGAAAGACGGUUUUGCUGUCACUUAUAGAUGGAUCCGCGCCGCAUUAGCUAGUUGGUAAGGUAACGGCUUACCAAGGCAACGAUGCGUAGCCGACCUGAGAGGGUGAUCGGCCACACUGGAACUGAGACACGGUCCAGACUCCUACGGGAGGCAGCAGUAGGGAAUCUUCCGCGAUGGGCGAAAGCCUGACGGAGCAACGCCGCGUGAGUGAUGAAGGUCUUCGGAUCGUAAAACUCUGUUAUUAGGGAAGAACAAUUUGUAAGUAACUAUGCACGUCUUGACGGUACCUAAUCAGAAAGCCACGGCUAACUACGU